CAAUAGCGUAUAUUAAAGUUGUUGCAGUUAAAAAGCUCGUAGUUGGAUCUCUGGUGGGAGCGAUCGGUCUGGCGCUUAGCGCGAGUACUUGCAUCGUCUCCGGCCAUCCUUGGGGAGAGUCUGUCUGGCAUUAAGUUGUCGGGCAGAGGAUCCUCAUCGUUUACUGUGAAAAAAUUAGAGUGUUCAAAGCAGGCUUAUGCCGUUGAAUAUAUUAGCAUGGAAUAAUAAGAUAGGACUUUGGUACUAUUUUGUUGGUUUGCGCACCAAAGUAAUGAUUAAUAGGGACAGUUGGGGGUAUUCGUAUUCCGUUGUCAGAGGUGAAAUUCUUGGAUUUACGGAAGACGAACUACUGCGAAAGCAUUUACCAAGGAUGUUUUCAUUAA
rnacentral:rRNA from 1 species